rnacentral:rRNA from 1 species
GACGAACGCUGGCGGCGUGCCUAACACAUGCAAGUCGAACGAACAGGCCCUGCUUUUGUUCGUUGCUCGUUUGGCGAACGGGUGUGUUACACGUGAGUAACCUCCCCUUGUCUUUGUGCUACCUUCAGGAAACUCGGGCUCUUAUCUCGUAUGAGCUCUUGCUGCUCGUUGUUGGUUGGAUAGAUUCGGCGGUUGUGGAUCUUCUCGCUGCUUAUCCGCUUCUUGGUGGGGUAGUUGCUUACAAAGCCUUUGACGGGUAGCCGGCCUGAGCGGGUGACCAGCGACAUGGGGACUGAGGUACGGACCAGAAUCCUACGGGAGGCGGCAGUGGGGAAUAUGGCACAAUGGGCGGAAGCCUGAGGCAGCAACGCCGCGUGCGGGAUGACGGCCUUCGGGUUGUAAACCGCUUUCGCCUGUGACGAAGCGUGAGUGACGGUAAUGGGUAAAGAAGCACCGGCUAACUACGUG